UUCGCCGUCUACGUUUCUCUUUCUUCGCGGACGAACACGCGCUGGGCCUGCGUCAUGCGGGAUCCCUGGUCCUUGACGGGAUAUGCGUUAGGGGCUUGUAGCUCAGUUGGUUAGAGCGCGCGCUUGAUAAGCGUGAGGUCGGAAGUUCAAGUCUUCCCAGGCCCACCACUUUCAUCGAGUGUGCAUUCGUCUUCUGGUUACGGGGCCAUAGCUCAGCUGGGAGAGCGCGUGCUUUGCAAGCAUGAGGUCGUCGGUUCGAUCCCGUCUGGCUCCACCAGAUGGUUUGAUCACCGAGAUCGUGUACCGUCGUCCGCGAAACAUCACUUCGCACUUGCCAGUCUGGAUAGACGGUAAGCUGCGGGAUUUCUGACAUCGUAAAGAGGAGAUCGAUCCGAGUUGGAUCGUGCGGCAAGCAAUUGCCACGCGAGACUUCAUUAUCUCCGGAUCAUUUCGGCGCUCGCGCGUCCUUCAAGGUCAAACUUGGAAGACAUGCGAGUUGUAAAUGAUCCUUUUAGCGAAGCUUGACCGCCUCGCUAUCGGAACGAUCUUACGAAGCAAGCUGGUCUUUCUAGUCAAUGUCCGGCUGCAGAUAGCGUUCAUCGAGGGCGCGCGCCGCAAGGCAGUUCUGCAGACAACAUUCUGCCGAGUGUGUGGACAUUGAUAAUGAGAGCAAUCAAGUGCCUUAAGGGUGUUCGGUGGAUGCCUUGGCGCUGAGAGGCGAUGAAGGACGUGCUACGCUGCGAUAAGCCGUGGGGAGCUGCGAAGAAGCUUUGAUCCGCGGAUUU
rnacentral:misc_RNA from 1 species